UAAAACUGCAGAACUAGAAAAGUGAUAAUAGCCUUCAGACGCUGUCCAUUCAGUAUGUGCCCCGCACUGUGCUGAGUGCUUUACAACAUGUCAUCUCAUUUCAUGUGAAGUCAGUAGUAUCCUUAUCCUCAUUUUACAGCUGAGAAAACUAAGGCUUAAAGAGAUUCUGGAACUUGCCCAAGGUUAUCCAGCUGUGGCGCCAGAAAGAGAAAUGUGUUUGGGACUCUGCAAAUUCAGAGGAAAACAGUUCCUGAAGGAUGCCUGAGAGGUGGGCAUUGUUAGCCCCAUUUUACAGAGAAGAGCAUUGAGACUCAGGGAGAUUGAUAACGUUGGCCAUGGCCACACGGCUGGUAAGUACGAGGGCUGGAAUUCUAUAG